rnacentral:rRNA from 1 species
UGGGGAAUAUUGCACAAUGGGCGCAAGCCUGAUGCAGCCAUGCCGCGUGUAUGAAGAAGGCCUUCGGGUUGUAAAGUACUUUCAGCGGGGAGGAAGGGAGUAAAGUUAAUACCUUUGCUCAUUGACGUUACCCGCAGAAGAAGCACCGGCUAACUCCGUGCCAGCAGCCGCGGUAAUACGGAGGGUGCAAGCGUUAAUCGGAAUUACUGGGCGUAAAGCGCACGCAGGCGGUGUGUUAAGUCAGAUGUGAAAUCCCCGGGCUCAACCGGGGAACUGCAUCUGAUACUGGCAAGCUUGAGUCUCGUAGAGGGGGGUAGAAUUCCAGGUGUAGCGGUGAAAUGCGUAGAGAUCUGGAGGAAUACCGGUGGCGAAGGCGGCCCCCUGGACGAAGACUGACGCUCAGGUGCGAAAGCGUGGGGAGCAAACA